rnacentral:rRNA from 1 species
CAGUCGCCGCGGGAAUACGUAGGGUGCGAGCGUUAAUCGGAAUUACUGGGCGUAAAGCGUGCGCAGGCGGUUUUAUAAGACAGGCGUGAAAUCCCCGGGCUCAACCUGGGAAUGGCGCUUGUGACUGCAAAGCUAGAGUGCGGCAGAGGGGGAUGGAAUUCCGCGUGUAGCAGUGAAAUGCGUAGAUAUGCGGAGGAACACCGAUGGCGAAGGCAAUCCCCUGGGCCUGCACUGACGCUCAUGCACGAAAGCGUGGGGAGCAAACAGGAUUAGAUACCCGAGUAGUCCCUGUCUCUUAUAC